rnacentral:rRNA from 1 species
UACGAAGGGGGCUAGCGUUGCUCGGAAUCACUGGGCGUAAAGCGCACGUAGGCGGGUUGCUAAGUCAGGGGUGAAAUCCUGGAGCUCAACUCCAGAACUGCCUUUGAUACUGGCGACCUUGAGUCCGGGAGAGGUGAGUGGAACUGCGAGUGUAGAGGUGAAAUUCGUAGAUAUUCGCAAGAACACCAGUGGCGAAGGCGGCGCACUGGACCACAACUGACGCUGAGGCGCGAAAGCUAGGGGAGCAAACAGG